rnacentral:rRNA from 1 species
UUAAUGUCCAGGAGAGUGGCCCUCCGCAUGGAGGGUUGACUAGAGAUUUAUCGGUAUGGGAUGAGCUUGCGUCCGAUUAGCUAGUUGGCGGGGCAACGGCCCACCAGGGCGACGAUCGGUAGCCGGCCUGAGAGGGUGAUCGGCCACAUUGGGACUGAGAUACGGCCCAGACUCCUACGGGAGGCAGCAGUAGGGAAUAUUGCACAAUGGGGGAAACCCUGAUGCAGCAACGCCACGUGUGGGAAGAAGCAUUUCGGUGUGUAAACCACUGUCAUGAGGGAAUAAGGCCCGCCUCCGGGCGGGAUUGAAUGUACCUUGAGAGGAAGCACCGGCAAACUUCGUGCCAGCAGCCGCGGUAAUACGAGGGGUGCAAGCGUUGUUCGGAAUUACUGGGCGUAAAGGGAGCGUAGGCGGAGAUUCAAGCGGAUUGUACAAUCCCGGGGCCCAACCCCGGCUCUGCAGUCCGAACUGGAUCUCUUGGAUAGUUCAGGGGCAGGCGGAAUUCCUGGUGUAGCGGUGGAAUGCGUAGAGAUCAGGAAGAACACCGAUGGCGAAGGCAGCCUGCUGGGGACUUAUCGACGCUGAGGCUCGAAAGUGCGGGUAGCAAACAGGAUUAGAUACCCUGGUAGUCCGCACCGUAAACAAUGCAUACUGGGUGUCCGGGGGUUCCCCCGGGUACCGUAGCCAACGCGUUAAGUAUGCCGCCUGGGGAGUACGUACGCAAGUAUGAAACUCAAAGGAAUUGACGGGGGCCCGCACAAGCGGUGGAGCAUGNGGNUUAAUUCGAAGCAACGCGCAGAACCUUACCAGGGUUUGACAUGGAAUCGCCGCAGCGAGAGAU